AGCCGCGUGGCCGAGAGGAUAGGCAUGGGCCUGCAAAACCCAGUAACGGUAGUUCGAAUCUACCCGCGGCAU
rnacentral:tRNA from 1 species